AAAUCAUGCAUCAGGCACUUCCUCAAUAAAUCCUUAAAUCUCUCUCAUGCUUCAUCCAAGGUUUCAUCCACCGAUUUUCUAAAUGAGGUAAUGUCAUUUCUUAAUCG